UACGGGGGGGGCAAGCGUUGUUCGGAAUUACUGGGCGUAAAGGGCUCGUAGGCGGCCAACUAAGUCAGACGUGAAAUCCCUCGGCCUAACCGGGGAACUGCGUCUGAUACUGGAUGGCUUGAAUCCGGGAGAGGGAUGCGGAAUUCCAGGUGUAGCGGUGAAAUGCGUAGAUAUCUGGAGGAACACCGGUGGCGAAGGCAGGUCACUGGGCCGCAACUGACGCUGAGGAGCGAAAGCAUGGGGAGCGAACAGG
rnacentral:rRNA from 1 species